GCCUGGCUAGCUCAAUCGGUAGAGCGUGAGACUCUUAUGAAACCUCAAGGCUGUGGGUUCAAGCCCCACGUCGGGCU
rnacentral:tRNA from 1 species